rnacentral:rRNA from 1 species
CGGGUGCGUAACGCGUAUGCAACCUGCCUGACACAGGGGGAUAAUCCGAAGAAAUUUGGUCUAAUACCCCAUAAUACCGAUAUAGGCAUCUAUGUUGGUUGAAAGCUUUGGUGGUGUCAGAUGGGCAUGCGUUGUGUUAGCUAGUUGGUGAGGUAACGGCUCACCAAGGCGACGAUACAUAGGGGGAACUGAGAGGUUAACCCCCCACACUGGUACUGAGACACGGACCAGACUCCUACGGGAGGCAGCAUG